GAUGAACGCUGGCGGCGUGCUUAACACAUGCAAGUCGAACGAUGAAGCCCAGCUUGCUGGGUGGGUUAGUGGCGAACGGGUGAGUAACACGUGAGUAACCUGCCCUUAACUCUGGGAUAAGCCUGGGAAACUGGGUCUAAUACCGGAUAGGAGCGUCCACCGCAUGGUGGGUGUUGGAGAGAUUUAUCGGUUUUGGAUGGACUCGCGGCCUAUCAGCUUGUUGGUGGGGUAAUGGCUCACCAAGGCGACGACGGGUAGCCGGCCUGAGAGGGUGACCGGCCACACUGGGACUGAGACACGGCCCAGACUCCUACGGGAGGCAGCAGUGGGGAAUAUUGCACAAUGGGCGCAAGCCUGAUGCAGCGACGCCGCGUGAGGGAUGACGGCCUUCGGGUUGUAAACCUCUUUCAGUAGGGAAGAAGCGAAAGUGACGGUACCUGCAGAAGAAGCACCGGCUAACUACGUG
rnacentral:rRNA from 1 species